GUAACGGCCCACCAAGCCUGCGAUCAGUAACUGGUGUGAGAGCACGACCAGUCACACGGGCACUGAGACACGGGCCCGACUCCUACGGGAGGCAGCAGUAAGGAAUAUUGGUCAAUGGACGCAAGUCUGAACCAGCCAUGCCGCGUGAAGGAUGAAGGUCCUCUGGAUUGUAAACUUCUUUUAUAGGGGACGAAAAAAGGGAAUUCUUUCUCGUCUGACGGUACCCUAGGAAUAAGCACCGGCUAACUCCGUGCCAGCAGCCGCGGUAAUACGGAGGGUGCAAGCGUUAUCCGGAUUUACUGGGUUUAAAGGGUGCGUAGGUGGGUCUGUAAGUCAGUGGUGAAAUCUCCGGGCUUAACCCGGAAACUGCCAUUGAUACUAUAGGUCUUGAAUACUCUGGAGGUAAGCGGAAUAUGUCAUGUAGCGGUGAAAUGCUUAGAUAUGACAUAGAACACCAAUUGCGAAGGCAGCUUACUAC
rnacentral:rRNA from 1 species